UACGGAGGGAGCUAGCGUUGUUCGGAAUUACUGGGCAUAAAGCGCACGUAGGCGGCUUUGUAAGUUAGAGGUGAAAGCCCGGAGCUCAACUCCGGAACUGCCUUUAAGACUGCAUCGCUUGAAUCCAGGAGAGGUGAGUGGAAUUCCGAGUGUAGAGGUGAAAUUCGUAGAUAUUCGGAAGAACACCAGUGGCGAAGGCGGCUCACUGGACUGGUAUUGACGCUGAGGUGCGAAAGCGUGGGGAGCAAACAGG
rnacentral:rRNA from 1 species